AGCUGGAAAAGGAUAUCACUGCCUGCUUUGUCGAAUGAUAGACAAGGAUAGCAACACCAAUGUUAAUCAAAUACUGCCAUUAUAACGUAGACCUCACUAUGAAGGCAGGUCUUCGGAUUUACCAUAGCGUGUGGAGUCGCUCCAGGGUAUUGUACCCUCUCAGCUAUCUAGCUCCUCUUAGCUAGUGAUACAAUUGUGUUAUUCGUGAUAAAAUAUGUUUACUCGAGUCUUGUAAAUUCUCACAUAUCAGUGACAGUGACCGGCACAGUGAAAAUAUAAUAACCAUGAUAUCUGAUUGGACAGUUCACACUCAGCACGGCCUAACGAGAAUGAAUAGUUCCAUUUGAAUUUACUGGGAUAAUAUUCUCACUGUACCGGGCAAUUGCACUAUCACUGGUGUGUGGCAAUUCAGCUUUAGAGGAUAAGAUGAUCGAUUACUUGUACACUUUAUGCGUAGACUCCGCAUAAUAUAAUUCCCAAAUUGAUGAUUGAUUGGGAAAUCAAUCUCAAAUGAGGUUGAUUAUUCCCUGCUGCAUUGAUUGGGAUAUCAAUCUCAAAUGAGGUUGAUUAUUCCCUGCUGCAUUGAUUGGGAUAUCAAUCUCAAAUGAGAUUGAUUCAAUCUGUUACAAUCUCAUCAAAUUCACUCACACUAUCACCAAGAAUGUUCACAAUAAAUAACAAUAGCCCAAUAGUAAUUAUCCUCAUUGAUCAAUAUAUCAAAACAAUCACUUGAAUAAAACUUAAAAACUGAAACAGAACCCUGAAAAAUAUACCACUUGAACAGUUCUCAAUUGAUAACAAAUUCACUUAAACUUUGAACGUCCAUCCAAGAGAAAUGCACAUGAUUCUCAACUCUCAAGUUAGCUUGUGAUACAUGAAUGUUUCCUUGAUAGUCUCACCCUCGAGUUAUAUUAUAUACUUAGGCUCAACUCACA